GCGCCGAGCAAUCGCCAUCCCUGAGCACAAAUGAUCACGUAACCUACAGGUCAUCGUCCAAACUGAAUGAUAGUCGUCGUUCAAACAUAGAUGUUAAGUAAUGGAAGAAAGGAAGCCUCACCGAUGCGUCCCAGUCCAAUGACUCCCACCGUGCUACCCGAAAGACCGUAUCCACACAUCCAGAGUGUUGUCCCGGACCUCCAGCCGCCACUGUGAGACAUCGUUUGAAUGUUCCAGGACUGACAUUUGGUAGAGCAAAACAUUGGUUCAAUGCAGUGAGUGGGG